CCUACGGGGGGCAGCAGUGAGGAAUAUUGGUCAAUGGGCGGGAGCCUGAACCAGCCAAGUCGCGUGAGGGACGACGGUCCUAUGGAUUGUAAACCUCUUUUGUCGGGGAACAAAGGCGCCCACGGGUGGGCGGAUGAGUGUACCCGAAGAAAAAGCAUCGGCUAACUCCGUGCCAGCAGCCGCGGUAAUACGGAGGAUGCGAGCGUUAUCCGGAUUUAUUGGGUUUAAAGGGUGCGCAGGCGGCGAGUUAAGUCAGCGGUAAAAUUUCGGGGCUCAACCCCGACAAGCCGUUGAAACUGGCUUGCUAGAGUGGGCGAGAAGUAUGCGGAAUGCGUGGUGUAGCGGUGAAAUGCAUAGAUAUCACGCAGAACUCCGAUUGCGAAGGCAGCAUACCGGCGCCCAACUGACGCUCAGGCACGAAAGCGUGGGUAUCGAACAGGAUUAGAUACCCGAGUAGUC
rnacentral:rRNA from 1 species